rnacentral:tRNA from 1 species
GGGGAUUUAGCUCAGCGACAUAAGCGCCUGCCUUGCAAGUAGGCAGUCAUGAGUUUAAUCCCCG